CAGAUAUUUAUAUAAUUUUUCCAUUUACUUUUUGAUACAAGGAGGUUAGAAUUAUUAUUGACCAUUAGAUUUGAAAUAAUGUAGCUGAGGAUGUAUCAUUGUUUGGGCACAAUAUCUAAAAUAAAAUUUCUCGAAUGUUGUGACACACUUCAAUCUAUUGAACUUCACAUCUAAUGGUUAAAAAUGAUUGUGGCUUCCUUGUACUAAAAACAAUAGUCUUAUAGUAUACAAUUCCAUAUUUAAUAUGGGUUGUUUGUAUAAGGUGCCUUCCUUUUACUACAGAAGCAAGGUACAACUGUAAAUUUGGUCUGGAGAUGUAGUUCAGGUGUUAGAAAUAUUAUGAUGGCUUGAAAAUUUAUUUUCUCUAGUUAUAAAAUUUAAAAACUAGUAUAUAUUGAGCAUAUCUAUAAACAUUUAAACAAAUCUUAAAAAUAGACGAUGCAAAUAUUUUGUUAGUUUUUAGUAUUUAUUUUUCAUUUUAUUUUAUUUUCAAAUCCAUUUAUCUUGAGGUCGAUAUGAUCAAAUUGAAGGACUCUCCGGCAUCUGAACACUCAUCUAAAGGAUUUUUUAUGUACAACCCUCUUCUACAAUAUAAAGACAUCUUAUAUAAACUUUUUCUAUAAAUUAUGAUUAAUGUGAAUUGGAAGCGGUCAUAAUUUUCAAGCGGUCAUAAUUAUAUAAACUUUGACAGGCCUGUGAAGCCCCACAAAACCACGGUAGCACAGUUUGAAGUCUCAUCCUCGGACUGCUGUUUUUUUCAAAAAAUAAAAAAUAAAGCAUGAUCUGAAGAUGGGGACCUCGGACCCCCUUGGAACUGAGUUCUGUUCAGUCUGAAGAGCGUUUUGUGAGGGAAUUAACGAACGCGACUUGCAUCCGUUAGUGGCAUCUCACUCUCUGGAGGGAAUGAAGAAAGGCAACUCGCAUCGCGCCUGCCACGCCAUCUCACUGUCUCACUCAUUAUAUACAAAAUGAAC
rnacentral:lncRNA from 1 species